rnacentral:rRNA from 1 species
GACGAACGCUGGCGGCGUGCCUAAUACAUGCAAGUAGAACGAGUUGCGAACGGGUGAGUAACGCGUAGGUAACUGCCUCAUAGCGGGGGAUAACUAUUGGAAACGAUAGCUAAUACCGCAUACAGUGAGAUGGACCUGCGUUGUAUUGGCUAGUUGGUGAGGUAAAGGCCGCCCAAGGCGACGAUACAUAGCCGAACUGAGAGGGUGAUCGGCCCCACUGGGACUGAGACACGGCCCAGACGCCUACGGGAGGCAGCAGUAGGGAAUCUUCGGCAAUGGACGGAAGUCUGACCGCGCAACGCCGCGUGAGUGAAGAAGGUUUUCGGAUCGUAAAGCUCUGUUGUUAGAGAAGCGGUAACUACCCAGAAAGGGACGGCUAACUCCGUGCCAGCAGCCGCGGUAAGUC